UAUGAAAGAUGAUCAUAUAAAGGGAGGAAAGAAUCUAUUAUUCACAACCACGGUGAUUAGUAGUGAGGAGGUUUUUUUACAACACAUUUGGAAAAUUUUGAUUCUACCCUUAGAAUAGUUAGGCUCUCGAGCUGUCUUAUUUCUAGGAGAAUCUCAAAAUAGAACUAGUGGGAAAUCAGGGCUGUUUUAUUUUAAGAUAUACAUACGUAACAGAACUGUUCACUAGUAGAUUACAGACAUACUCCACCAUUAUAUAAACUAAUCAGUGAAAUAAAAUCAGGAGAUAUUUCAAGGAGGAGCUGUCUCUACAAUACAGUGCUGGUGCAGGUUGGUCUGGAUGAUUUCCAAAGGUUCCUUCUCCCACUAGCAUUUCUUUUCUUUCUCUUUUUUUAUUUUGUCUUUUUUUUAUUAUUAUUAUUUUUGUUGUAUUAAUGCAGCAAGGCUUCUAAACAUACCCACAAAGGAUUAAUUAAUAUUAAUAACUGAAUGUUGGGAAGAUAGCAUCAGCUAUCAAGACAAGACUUUUACUGACCAUUAUACAGGUUCAUCACUUUCAGUAUUGUACGUGAGUGGGAGAGGGGAGAAUCAUCUCUGAGAUUAAAAUCCAAACAGAAAGUCCACCCUGCUUGUCAUGCCACUGGCCAGCACUCUGUGUUAGCAAAAUGAAGGUGACUUCAUUUUGGCAGUGGGCUGCUUGGCUUUCAAAACAAAAUGCUCUAAAAUCAUGGGAAUUAGAGAAAAUGGAAAUCAGGGUAAUGAAGUAAGAGAUAUGAAGGGCUGCCAGGAAUGUGGAAGAUCCCAGUGAACAAGAAAUAACACCUUUCCACUGGUCUGAGUGUGAUUCAAGGAGGGCUGCAAUGAGCAGAAAGCACAAUUGAUGGACUAAAGCAACUGUGUUUAGAUGAUUAUUGAUUGAAGCAAAGUUUUGCCUUAGCAUGUAUGAAAGCAAAGUGCGACAAUUCAGUUACUGUUACUGUUGCUCCUAUUAGAUAUCUAGAGCAACUCGAUAAAGAUUGCUUUUGUGCUAGGCAAACCCUGCGGAACGUAUGCUUUUCAUCAUAACUUUCAUUUAACAGGAACAUUCAGUGUUUUCUAACUUUUGUUUCAUGCUAAUAGAGUUUUUGCAUGACAGGACAGCUCUCAGUGAUGUAAGGAUUUAAUAAGAGGUUCGGUUGCAGAAACAUUUUUCUGAGAAGCAGAAGGAUAUUUAUUUUUUCCUCAUAGAACUGUGAGGAAUGCUAAGUGAAGAGGUUCCUAGUUAGAGAUUAAUAUUAGGUUUAAUGGACAGACUUCAGCAGAAGCGGUUUUGUAACAAUCACCGCCAUGAAGUAGAGAAUUACUUCAUUUGUUGCAGGCAAGUCAGAUAUCUGAGUCUUCCAUAAGCCUGGAAAGUAGCCUGUAGUUACACGUUGGAGUUUAGUUUUUCACUGAUAGACUACUGAGAGGUGAUGUGACUGGAUGCUGCAAAAUGUAGUUUCAUGGAGCCUGAGCUCUAGUAACAUUCCAUCCCUGUUCACCCUGCCUAGCCUCUCAUUAGCUGGAAUGAAAGACUGGCAAUCUCGCUCUGAUAAAAGGUAUUUGUGGGUCACUGUUCAGCCACCAAUACAGGCAGAGAGCCUGGUCUGAACUGAUUAGCACUGUUAAAUGCUUUGUCAGGGAGAGGGUGUUGAGAAAAGAUGUGGUGCUCCACAUAUAUCUGUGCUGCAGCAAAAUCAAGGAGCCUGCCUUAUCCUCCUUGUCUCUGCAAAUAAAUAUUUGCAGCAGGUAUUAGAUUUUUCCUAUGAAUAUGCCUCUUUUGCCAGAAUUAUAUAAGGGAUCCUAAUGUAAAUGAGAUGCAAACACAUAUUGUACACUACAGUAAUGCAAAUUUGUUACAAAAGGAAGCGCUGCUGUUAAUGAAGUGCUGAGACAUAUCCAUUUUGAAAGCACUGUGGGGAAAGAACACUGAAGCAAAUGAUUAGGAAACAGGGAAAACUAAUAUUUUUUUAAUAAACCAAUGUUAAGUAUGGGCAGUAGGUUCUGGUUACAGCUUUGCAAAUUCAGAUUCACUUGUCAGUAAUGGGAAGGAAAUACUCCCUAUUGUAGCCUAAGCUGACACCAGAACUGUCUUUUAAUUAAAUCACAAUUAAUUUUUUCUGGUAAAACUGUAGAACCACACUACUGUGGGCCAUAGAAAUCUGAUAUUUAACCUUGCAAGCCUUCAAGAUUUUUUUGUUUGCCAGUUGUCUUUCUGUUCUCUGUUGCUUUUGUGAUGCCAGUUACAAAAUCAAGCCUUAUUUUUAUCUGAUAUAAUACUUUUCCAUGGCAAUGGCAUUCAUGUAUGUUACAUAGUCAAAACUCCUCCAGUAAGACCAGCCAAGGCUAGGAAGCCUGUCUGCACAGCACUUGGGAUUUGGCGAGCUGGUACUUGUAGAAUAGUGAGUGGAAAUAAAAGCAUUGUUUGUUGUGGUUUGUUUUGCUUUUCUUUGACAGUGAGUUCAGUAAGAAGCCAAAUACCAAUAAGGCGGUGGCAGAUUUAAGUAUCUGGAUAUUUCUAUUUAUUUGAUGCUUUCAGAAAAUACUUUACAUUUUUGAGAUAAUCUCAAAAAUCAUAAUUCUGCUUACAAGGAGAACUGAGAGCAUUGCAACUCAGUGCUGUUCUUAUUCAAACUACCAAUUUGUUUCUUUCAAAACUUUUAUAGGAGGAACUGACACACGUCUUGGGCACCUAGUGUUUUGUCAAUAUGUGCUGCUUUGAAUUCUUCUCUCUCAGAACAGAAAUCUGAGCAGAUUUCUUUCCAUGUGAUUAGGCACUUCAGCAAAUCUGUACCCUCAUCUACUUCAGCUCCUCCAUUUAACCAUGUGCUGUUUUGCUGAAAACACCUCCCUCCUCUAAUCACUGCACUGAGCUGUAAUCUCCUUAUUUCACCCUUCAGCAGUAUCUUCUUUUUGCUCACUCACUUUUUUGCAGUCACUGGAUUGCUGUCAUAGAAGUGCACCUUGGAAUCUCCUCUCCAUGUUCUUGAACUUCCUACACGCUCCUGACACUGCGUCAUUUCUCUCCCUUCUCUUAUAUCCAUGGUCUGAGAAAUCAGUCACCACCGAUUACCCAAUUCAUCUACAUGGGGCCAGGGCUGCAAUUUUUAUAGAGAAAAUAUGGCAGAAUUCAGACUUCAAGGGGGGUCUCGUUAUAUUGGAUCAGUCUGGGCUGGGAAUGUCGGAGUAACUUACUGUUCUCUGAAAUGAAAGCUCCCACCACUCAAUAGCUCAGACCUUUCAGAACAUGUUUCCUUUCAAACCAGGAAAAUGCCUGCUUUGUCCUCUCUGGAAAAGCUAAAUGAUAUCAACAAAAGCAAGGGAAGGCUGUUGUUAAUUCAAUUAUUAUUAUUACUGGCAAAUAAAGCACUGGAGAAAUCUAAAGCUGUGUUCACAAUGUGAUAUUCAAAUAAUGCAGAUGCUCUCUCAGAUAAUUAUUUAAAUGCCUAAUCAGCCAGUAGCCACAAAAUAAUAACAAGAUGUUGGGCCAAGGAAUCUGUGGGGUCACAUUGAUUUAUUCAACAGUUGAUGCAUUUCAUAUGAUCGCAGCAAGCAAACAGAAUUGAUUUAGAGAUGCUAUUUAUGGAGAUAGCUCACCAUGAGCUGUAACCAUUCAAGCUCCUAGAAGAGCCCCACACUGUAUUACUCAGAAGCAGUGCAGACUGACAAACUUCUGAGAGUAUUUACCCCACUCGUGGCACCAUGAGAUAGGUAGAACUGAGCCUUUCUUGCACACUGUGUAAUCAUGUUUCUUUACAAAUGACUGUAGAUGAUAGAAGAGUUUUGUCUUAUGAGGUGUCCAGAUUGAUUCAUGAGGAACCAAAAGGUGAGGAAACUGAGGAAAUCCAAGAGUGAAAAGAAGAGUGAAAAUUAAACUUUGGAGAAGGUGAAAGCAAAGCAUUGGAGCACGGUGUUUUCAGCACAUACUCAGUGCUUAGGAAUUCACACAGCAUUAAUAGAAGAUGCAUUCAAAAAACAAAUCAAACUUCUAGCACUUGGUUUCCUAAGAUUGUUUUGGAGGCUUAUGGAAAGUUUUAGAAAUUGGAUCGUCAUUAAAACAUGCAAAUCUGAAAAAAUAUAUUCUACAAACAACAGAAAAGGUGUGCUUGAUAAAGUGUAUUUUGUUGUCUUUGAAACCUAGGCUAGCCAUAAAGAGGUAUUAUAAAGGGAUGUGCUGCUUGUCUGCCUUGGGAAAAGGAUAAUGUAGGCUCAUUCAUGUAAGUUGUGCGCUACACCACAAAAUGUGAUAACAUUCAGGAGGUGCAUUUCAAAAAGGCAUGCUUUGAAUUGCAGUUUGCAAAAACAACAGUUGGUGGCACUUUGAAACAAUUUUUAUUUGUAAAUGCACAUUUGCUGAUUGUAGGUGUGUAGAGGAUGACAUUAAAAUAUUAAAUCACCAGUCUUCAUCAGUUCAAAUUGCAGUGAUGGUACAGAAGUCACCAACUGUAUUUUGCACGGUUCACAGCUUGCUUACACAGAAUUUGAAGAUCUGAAUUUAUAAAAACAAGGAAGGUGGUCAGGGCUACAAAUUCUACUUCAAAAAUGUUAGUGAGAAGUUACCAGAAAAGAUAGUAAUGACAAAAAUAGCAGUAGAAGUCACCACUAAUUGAGAAGAUUGCUCCAACCCCUAAAGGCAUCAAGGCCUGAAGCAGUAGCAGCACAGCACACCUCCAUGGACAGCUCAUCUUCACCUAGUUUACAUUUUGUUAUAGAGUUUUGUUUUUUUCACAGCACUGAUGUUCAUGGUGUCUAUCAAGUAUAUAGAUCUCUAUUUUUAACCAACAGUCACUGGACAAAGAGAUAUUUUCUAAAAUUUUAUUCCCCAAGAAGCGUGAGGGAGAAGAUCAUAAAGAGACUGAGGUCGUCAUUGCAGAAGAUCAAAAGUUCAUCCAUGGUAAUUCUGCCAGUCAAGUGCAAUCACACUGCCUGCAUAGGAACGGUAUCAUCAAUCUGAUAUCCCUCUGAUAUCAGAGGGAAAGCUGGGCAUUACUGGAGAACACUGAUGUAUUGAAAGACAUCUUUUUGUGUCAUCACAUACCUUGUCUGAAUACCUGAUGUUUAAACUAGCUGAGAAGCCAAAUCCCUUUUAUUAGAGAUUACAGAUAAUCAUUUGUUCCACAGGUCAAUUGAUUGGGGGUCAUUUGAUUCCAGAAGAGACUCUACCAGAGAGACAGCCCUGAAUACCAGAGCAGCUUGCUACCUUGGCUGUGGCCAUUUGCCCAAAGAAUGGAAGAUCAGCACACAGCUGGUGCUUGGCAGUCUUCACAACUUGGCCAAAGGAGCUUCAGCACCUUCUGUUCUGUCUCUAAUCUCACACAUUGGAAUUGAAAAGUCUAUGUCAACAGAGGAUAAUAAAUCUGGAGCCAUUACUGGGUUCUGCCCCUCCCCUUCAUCCUGUGGAUUAGUUGCAGAUGACUCCUGUUUGCAGUGCUGGCCCUGAAUAUGUUGGUCUUGACAGUAUAAGCCAUAAGUGAUUUUUAUUUGGCCUUCUAAAUUACAUAUUUUGCAGUUACUAAUAGAUCUUUAUAUUGGCUACUUUGAGUUCUGUGGAAAAAUGUUUCAUUUAGCUUCAGACAAAUGCUGCCUGAUGCAUUUACAAAUAUGUUCUUGCCUGGGAAUAUUUUGCUGCUUUCCUAUUUAAUUCCACAGGGCUGCUUGCACUGAGAGGAAAGCUUGUCAUAUCCAGUAUGAUAAAGCAAACUUCUUUUUCUGAAGAGUAAUGCUGCCUGGCAUUCUAAAUUUUCUGUAAUGUGCUGCUAGAUUUGGUGAAACCGUGAGCUAAAUACUGAUUUCACAUUUUCUGGCUUUUGUAUCUUUCCACAUACCACAGACUUUUGUAAUGUUCUCACUUCAGGUAUGCUCAUGUGAUGCCUAGGAAACCCAGCAAUGCCCACCGCUUUCAUGCAUGAGCAUCUUUCUGGCUCUCCACACCCCUGCAUGCCACUCUGCAGUAGAAAGCUGCUUUUAGCCUAAGAGCUUCUGCUUCAGUCUAAGAUGAUGUGCUGGGGCUUCUCCUGUCACUGCUCUUCAGUCCCUAAAUAGUAAUUUGUACCUGCCCUCUCAAGAGACAGUUUGCUCAUACUCACAUUGUUCUCUUACAUGCCUGACCUUGUGUUUACAAAAGGCUUAGGCGUCCUCUUUAAACAUUUUGUAUACCUGCCUGAGCAGUGACUCAGUUCUCACAUACUGCAGAAAUACCUGUUUGCUACCCAGCUCUUACCUUAUUUGUAUGUAGACAAAUGGCAUUUUGCACUGGCCAUCAGCCAAGGCAUUCAUUUCUGCCUCAGCCAGUGCCUUCAUUACAACCCUGACCUGCAAGCUUGGUUGUUUCUAUCACACUAGACAUAAUCCCUUUGUUCUCUCUUGGAGCAGCUGUUCCAGGCAUACACCUGGCUUCCUGCUCCCCACAUGGCCAGCAAUGUGGCGGCUUCAGCUGGAAGGCUGGGCUUCAGCUUGGGAGCCCUGACUUUACCCUGUUCUUUUGGCAGCUGCCAUUACCCAUGACUUUGGACCUGCAAACCACAUUCACAGACUGGUUGUUCUGAAUAGUGUAGGCUGUUAACUAUUCUGGCCCUGAUGUGUUUUUCCAAGUAGGUGUAAAUCUGUGUCCCCUCCAAGGUUUUCUUGCAGCCAGGUUCUGGGACCAAUUUCUUCCCCCAUUCUCUUAACCAAGUUUUAUGAGCUCUCAACAGAAUCAUCUGCUCCAGAAGAGCAUCAGGUCUGAGUGAGUGAAAAUGUGUGUUGUGUUCCAUUGCCUUGGUGUACUCCAAGGAGAAAAGGCAAUUCAUUCCAGUGGGAUUCAUCGCUCCCUGAGAACACUAGGACCUCUGCACUGUCAGUGAAAGGAGUGACGUGCCUAGGUUUGGUGGAUGAGAAUACCCUCUGGAGCAUCUGAAAGCACCUCUCUCUUUUCACUGAUGACAAAGCUUCCUUUAUAAUAAAUACAUGGCGUUAUAUUCAGUGGACUGGAUCCCUCUCACCCUCUUUAUUCCUCCUUUCUCUUUGUCCCUUCCCUCCCUCUGUUUAUUUCCUCCCUAGGCCAGGUGCCAAAAAUGCUAGUGCAGCAGUAUCUUAGCUAUCAGCUUAAAUUGUCAAACUGGCUUCCACCUCUUUCAUUUCAGAGAACACUGUAAUUGAAACUCCUCUUAUUUUAGGUGAUGGUAGUAUUUUAAACUCAGAAUUAUGUAAAGAAAUGGAGAUAGCGCUGAACUGCUUAGCUGCAAAGGGGUGGCUACAGACCAAGUGAGGAAAUGUUUGCAUAAAUUCUAUGUAGGCAGAUUCUCACCUAGAAAAAGCCUGCAUUUCUGCCAAAAUAUUCAGAAUCUCUCUGGCAUCCACCGCAAGCCAAUUGUCAGACUUGAUUUGUCCGGCAGAGAAGGCUUUUGCCUUCAUUUCUGCUCAUUUGGUGCCAGCGUAUAUCCCUGACAAGUGAUGUGAGAGGUGACUGGAAGAGUUCAUUGACCAUGGAGAUGCCUACGCAGGGAAUCACUUUCCUUCUUCUGCAGAGCCUCCCAGAAAACUGGGAUGUUCUGAUGAAACCCAUUCUGCUACAAAUCUCCCUGCCCAGACGAACAAUAAGAACAUGAAAUCUAGGAGUAACUCAGGGGUCUGUGGUUGUCAUUUGGGAAAGACGCAUUUGUGAUUCAAUCAACCAAGCCAAUAUGCUGGAGCAAGCUUUGAAAGGCCGUGGCAUGAAGGUGCUUGUAAAGUGACAGUGGCCAAGAUUGCUUUCACCAGAUUCAUUCCAUGACACUACUUUGACAGAGUUUAAAGGACAGAAAGAUUAUAUUAUUUGUUAGUUCCUUGGUCUGGAAAGGCCUGGGCAGCCUAUGCCAAACAUACCCACUACCACCAGAGAGGUGAUUGCCAUGCAGGUGAAUGACAUGGCAAAUAGAAGCAGGAACGUAUGGCUGCAACAUGAAGCAGAAGGAGGCUGAUGAUUCUUCCUUCUGUCCUCUUCAGGGAGAGUGGUGAGAAACUGAGGCCAGAAUAGAAGUGCAGUAAUAAUUCUCCCACAUGCUAUAGAUAAAGCUGAUCUUCUCAUCCUACACGUUGUCCAUUGGAAAAAUCAGGAAAGCACAUAUGUUUUUACCAUUUCACACAAUGACAGUGUUGAGCGCCUUCCCAAAUUGUGCUGCGUGAUACUUCUCUGGCAUUGGACCUUGGUGAGCCCAGCAACAGACUACCAAAGACAUGGCUUCUUUGGACCUUCUAAGAGAUGCUGUAGCCAGAAUCACCAGAAGCUUUUAUCAUGCUGAUACUGUUUUCUAGAACAUCUUAUACCUCGGCUGGGGGUCUUCAAAUCUCCAGGCUCUCAGAGGUAUCUCCAAUGUUUACCCUGCCAGAAUUUGCUGAACUGGCCUGAAAAAAAAAAAAAACAAAAACAAAACAAAAAAAAACCUGAUCCAUUUAAUGCAUUUAGGAAUCAUUCUAAAGCAGAUUUUUGGAGCUUUUUCAUCGCUCUUUUCCUGGUUUCUGUCUACUUUUUAAUCUGUCUUACUCCUCACCAGUGCUUGUAGCUGAUAUAUUGUAGCCACCUUCUCCAUAUCUACUGAAAGCUCAAAUUUCAUUGGAAAAAUAAGAGAGAAAUUAGUGACAGAAAAGUUCUUUUUUCUUUCCUUAAUAUUAACUUUUAUAAGAUCCAAAGCUGGUGUGCAGCUAGAGGGACCAGCCCAUGUAGGGAGAAAAGCAGAACAUCUGGAUAUCCUCAGCAAAUCACUACAAGUUUCUUAUUUAGCUGUACAGGUAGGCAACAAAUCAAUUUAAAAAGUAAUAGUCAGAUGUCACCUGCAUGCACUGCAGGUUUUGUAAAACUGUCAUUCCAAAGGGAGGAGCCCCUAUAUGAUCCAUCCAUGUGCUUAAAAUAUGAUAGGAUAUUAGAGCUUAAUUCAGUUUCAGACUAAUAAAAGUCAUAAGUAACUAGUUUCACAAAGUCAGUGGAACUAGAAAAAUGUAAGCUUGAUGGAGACAGUAUUCAGUUAAUUCAAUGUUUUGAAGUUACUUUGAAAUGGAAUGAGUGUUCAGGCAUUCUGGGCCAGGUUGUGUCUAGUUAGCAAGGUUGUAUUUAGUUAUCUGACUCUGACAGUGAAAAGCAAUUUCAUAGUUGUGUCCUAAACUUCUCCAUCAGUGUUUCUUGAUAUGCUACUUUGUGGAAGACUCCCUUAUUGGUGUGGCAACUCUUCAAAAUGUUUAGGUCUGCUAUUAGCAUAGCAGAGAGCAUACAGGACCCUAUUAAGCUAUACAUUGGGUUUCAGAAGCCAGCCAAUGGCAGACCUCUGGUCUCCUUAAAACUGUGCCCCUCUUAGAGUGGCCAUUUUUAUCCCAUUGUAAUUGUCUCUUUUGUGAUUAUGAUCUGCUGAACUCUGCAACUCUAAAGCCAAAUCAUGAUGGAUCAGUUGAUCUGACUUGGACCUUGUCAGCAGGAGGAAGGCAGGAUGUAGAGGGAGUGAAUUAUUAUUAAAUACGAGGUUAAGUAGCCUGAGGUUAGAGAGGAAAAGAUCAGCAAAGCACUUCUAAUCGAUUUGAUAUGGACAACUUAACCGUAUUCACUCAUGAUCAGCACCCAUGCAAUAAAAUAUAACUGCAGGAAAACUCAUUCUUAUGUACAUUUUACCAAUGUCUGUAUACUGUCUCAUGGUUCCUGCAUGACUUUCCAGCUGUAUUCCACUUCACUAAUUAGUUCACAGCUCCGACCAGAUUAAUACAAUCUAUGAUUCUACUAACCUCACAUAACUGCACAUGAUUAACAGCACUGCAAUUUUUAAUUCAUUUUCAUCACUUUAAUUUAUUGCCAGAGUUUUUUUAUUCUUUGAUCCAGUAAUUGGUUCCUUUCUUCUUUCUCAGUUUAUAAUCUAAUCUUCUAGAAAUAUUGAUCUUGGCCACUCCUCGUGCCCAGUUCUUGCCUUCUCUUUUUUAUUAUUAACUUCCUUCCUUCUUCUUCCUUCUUCUCCAGUUUUCUCUGCUUUAUACAGGUGAAGAAUUUAGUUGUAUGCCUAUUUUUGGGCACUUAUUAUUAAUAAAUAAAACCUUUAUCCCGCUGUGUACCCUCACAGAAGGAGUGUGGACUGGGAAGCCACGAAGAUGUGGCUUUCUGUGUAUGGUGACACUUUAUGUCAGUGCCAGGGAUUCUCUCAUUUCCAGAGAGUAGAUAGACAUGUUUGGUGUUGUCUCUUCUUUUGGGGGAACCAAAUUCCUUGCUAAAAAAACUAGUGGGAUCACUCCACAGCAAAACGUGAUCUGGCAUCUGUGUGAUAUUUCAAAAGUGCACGUUUUUGCAUCUUCUCUCAGCAUUUUUCCUUUCGGAAGAACAAAGGAAAUACAAUAAAUACCAGACUGUUGUUCUAUCAGUGCCAUUUCAUGGUUUACACACCGAAUAUACAAAAUCUGUGAUGGAUGUGAGGAAUUUUAUUCUUUUGGCCCAUAUAGGGCCUCUGCUUUGCUGAGAUAUUUUGCCUUUUAAAUAAAAACAAGUAAGUUUCAUAGAGAAAUCAACACCAAAAUACAGCCUAACACAAUCACAAACAUUUAGUAGAGAUAGCAGCUUGGUCCCCACAACUAAGCAGUCUCAUUACCCGAGGGUCCUGCAUUGUAUUGACAUUUCUGUGUGGCUUUUUCUUCUGGGUAGUUAUGAUCUCUCCUCCACAUCUGCCCUCUCUUCCAGAGUAGCUGACCAAUGUUAAGCCACGGUUUGCUUUUGCAAAUCUCCAGUUAUGUUCCCACUUGAAAGCAAAAUCUUCAUAGAAAGAUUUACAGUGACAAAAAGAUGCAAAAGGAACACAUAUGCAUCAUAUAGGGAUAUAAAUACUGAGUCAUUCACUUUGGAAGAAAACAAGAAUCAUAUAUUUAUGUACAUGUCCUAAAUGUAAAGGCAUAAAGCCUUUGAACAUGUAUCACAGCAACAAAAUAGAGACUUGUGUGGGAAACAUCAGUAAGUUUAUCGUAUAACAGCUUUUAUUUAGAAUUUAUCCUCGGUUUUUCAUAGCAUUCACAGAUGUAAAGGAUUCAAUUUAAACGCUAUUUACAAUUUACAGUAUUUACUGUAAGCAAUGGAAGUUCACUGGUGCCUAUAAACACGUAUUUAUCAGAGUACCACAUGUAGUAGUCAUGAGGCUUGGAAUACAUAUAAUGCUUUUAGAUGACUUUUGCAAGGACAAAAAUCUGCCCUGUGUUUUAGCAUUAAUGAGGGACAGAAAGCAAACAGAGUUGUUAUCAUACCUAUAUACACAGCAGAUCUUCAGCCGUAUUAAGAGUCUGUUCAAACAAGAGGGAGAGGUAUGAGUAAAUUCUUCUUUCUUGUUUACCAUGAACUGAAAAGUCGAUUAUGUAAGAUGCAGCAACUCAUGCACAAAACAGAGGGUGGCUGCAAGGUACCCAAAAAUGGAAUUUAUUUAACACAGCCUUCAUUACUGGUGAUAAUGCUUGAGAAGAAAAGAAAGAAUCCAGGUUGACACCCAUCUAGAAAGGUAUUUUACAGUGCUUAAACACAAAGCUGUUAGAAAACUCUCUGAAAAAGUUUAGCACUAUAACAGGUCCCAUGGAGACAAUGUGAAAAAUAAAAAAGAUGUCACAGAAGUAAGUAAUGCAAAGCCUGAUAAAAAAGAUUGUUCCUUCUCUUCUGUAUCUGAAAGUAAUACUCCAGACAUAGAUCAGUGUUGUCUGGGAAAUAUGUAACUCUUGCAAAAAAAAAAAAAAAAAAAGCAGAACC